CACGGCUUGGCUGAGAAGCAAGAGAAUGUUGCUAAUUGACAUAUCCAGUUGAAGAAUCCAGGCCUGCUCUUUUACUAUUGGGCUGAAGCCUUGUGCGGGGAAAAAGCUGCCAAGAGGUGGGCCCGGUCGAAAGACAUCCUGCUGCACCAGUGGUGGAGUGUUGUUGUGAAUGGUUAAACAGCUGCUGAAGUCCACUCCAGAGAUGGUUCCCUUUCUGUUCUUCAUAGACUAUAAGGCGGGAAGGAACCACUAAGAUGUGUUUUCACGGUAUGGGGCCAGGAAGAGCGGAGUGGGAAAGCAAAGCCUGAGGCAGGAAGAGAAGGAAGUAUCCUCAAGAAAAAUGUGAUUUCCCAGAAAAGGAGGGUUUUGAAGGAAGAUAAUGACUGAAUGGAGGGAGGGUCAUUUGCUGGCUCUGGAAGAGGUGGAGUUUAUUGAAUAAUGGCUCUAUUCCCCCAUCUCCCAUGACACUUGGCCACAGUGGAUUUGUAUAUGCCUGUAUGUGCUCUUCUCCACACCGCAGAGCUGACAGCAGAGGACCUCUUGUCAAUAAGCCUUUUGUUUGGGGUUAUAUUUUACCCAUUGCUUUUGUUUAGUUAUAGUAUUGUUCUGAGUCCUACACUAUAUAAAAUGCUGUGAUUUCAUGUUUUCUUUCUUUUUAAAAUUAAAUUAAUUUUUAAUAUCUAUUUUGUGAGCAUCAAUUCUUCCCCAGCGAUCUAACAGCUCUGGGAAGUGUCUUUUGAGUUCUUCUUCUCCCCUUAGUAAUGGUCAUAUUGCAGUUGUAACAGUCAUAAUGCGGUUGUUUGACCAAGCUCUUAACUUAAAGGGAUUGUGUGGUUCCAUUUCCUGUUUGCUUUCACCUUGAUUUUUUUCUAAACUCUCUUGGUAGAUGUAUGUCAUUAGAAAUGCAUUCAUGAGCAAACAUAUAAAUAAAUAAUAUGGAAGGAAAACUCUGGUUCACAGAGAAUGUAGACAGUACUUUGUGCUGUG